GACGUAGGGGGCCAGCGUUGUUCGGAAUUACUGGGUGUAAAGGGUUCGUAGGCGGUGUGGCAAGUCGGGAGUGAAAUCUCUGGGCUCAACUCGGAACGGUCAGCUGAUACUGCUUUGCUAGAGUGCGGAAGGGGCAAUCGGAAUUCUCGGUGUAGCGGUGAAAUGCGUAGAUAUCGAGAGGAACACCUGAGGUGAAGACGGGUUGCUGGGCCGACACUGACGCUGACAGCGCGAAAGCCAGGGGAGCAAACGGG
rnacentral:rRNA from 1 species